rnacentral:rRNA from 2 species
CCUACGGGGGGCUGCAGUGGGGAAUUUUGGACAAUGGGCGAAAGCCUGAUCCAGCGACGUCGCGUGAGGGAAGAAGGUCUUCGGAUUGUAAACCUCUGUUGACAGGGACGACAAAAGACGGUACCUGUCGAGGAAGCCACGGCUAACUACGUGCCAGCAGCCGCGGUAAUACGUAGGUGGCAAGCGUUAUCCGGAUUUAUUGGGUGUAAAGGGUGAGUAGGCGGGUCCUCAAGUCAGAUGUGAAAUACUGUGGCUCAACCACAGAACUGCAUUUGAAACUAUGGAUCUUGAGAGUCGGAGAGGUAAUUGGAAUUCCCAGUGUAGCGGUGAAAUGCGUAGAGAUUGGGAGGAACACCAGUGGCGAAGGCGGAUUACUGGACGACAACUGACGCUGAGACACGAAAGCGUGGGGAGCAAACAGGAUUAGAUACCCCGGUAGUC